rnacentral:ncRNA from 1 species
UUAAUCUAUUUAACUCUGGUUGUGGAAGAUAUGAAAGCAGGUUUACAUAAGAUUGUUAUUUUUUUGGUUUUGCAUAUGAAGGUUGUGUGCUAUUAUCUUAGUAACUAAAAUUUUAAGAUGGGGGAAACCCCGAUUGGGCUGUUUUUGUGAAAGUGGUGGAUUCUCAGUGCCAGCAUCCGCGGUUAUUCUGUUAGCUUUUAUCUUCUUUUGUUGUUGGUAUAAAAUGUUUAGAAUUUAGGGUUUGUCAGAAUUGGGUAGAAUUUUUCUGGAGUUGAAAUAAGAUUUUAAGGAUUUUCUGAGCUUACUAUUAUAAAAGGGGAUUAGAUACCCCCGUAUAUGUAUGAUUUGACUUUGUGUCCAUAGUAUAAACUAAAAGGGUUUGGCAGCUGGUAAAAUUCUACCGGGGGAACGUGUGUCGUAAUAGAUAGUCCGCUUAGUAUUUAACCUUGAUUAUGUUUGUUAGUGUAUAUCCGGUUUAAGAUCUGUGAUUUGUGUCUAUAGGUGUAAUUUUUGUUUAUUUAAGCCAGGUCAAUGUGCUGCUAAUAUCAAGGGGAUUAUGCGUUACUUUGUUAAAAGGAUUUACUGAGAAUACGGUAAUUGUAUUAAGGACUCGGAAGUAGGCUUAGUUUGUUGUAGUUAAUUCUUUAGGUCGAAUGUGAUUUUAGCUGGGGUACACACCGCCCGUCACCCAGGACGUUAGUCGUGGUAAGUCGUAACAUGGUAAUACUAGGGGAACCUGGUGUUAGUUAGCUUGAGGUUUAUUCUUUAAGGUUGA